rnacentral:lncRNA from 1 species
CUCGUCACUACUCUACCGAGGUUAGGCUUGACACUUAUUGGGUACCGCUGUGGUGUACUCAUACUAGGUUUCGGCACAUCUUUUUGUGCAGAUCCAGGUACGCCCUAUCAGACCAGACAUCAGUGAAUUUGACUGUACACGGAGACUUCAAGGUACAUCUGUCAGCAUCCCCAGACCCUGGAGUCCCCUUCUUUCCUUAUUAUGUCGUUUUUCUUAUUUUCUUUAGACCCUGAUGUAAAGAGACACUGAGGAUAAAUUCUUAGAAGCUUGUGACUUAUUUUCUACCGGGUUUUGGGAGUUGUAAUUGUUAAAUUUAUAAUUCUUAUUUAUUCAACUAUUAAGGAUUAAAUUUCAGUUAUUCUGCAUUGAUAGGCUUACCUAGUCUUAGAGAUUAGGUGCCAUCACGACAUCCUACUGAGGAAAUUUGUGGUCGUGACAAGUGCACGUUUCAUGCGACUUGACCAAAAUUUCAAAUAAUUAAAAUAAACAUAUUGUAAAUCGCGGGUGCGUUUCACGUGGUGCGAUUUGCAAUAUGUACAAAAAUAGCGAGUGCGAGACAUCGCGACUUAUUCAAAUAAAUUUCAUAAAUAUUAAAAAGGGGCUAAAAAUAAAUGAAAGCGGUAUAAAAUCAGCAAUGCAUAAAAGGUUUUAGACUUGUAAUAAAUCAAAUAAUUAAGCCGAACAUUAAUUGUUAAGCGACCGUGCUAAAAUCACGGAACUCGGGAGUGCCUCACACCUUCUCCCGGGUUAACAGAAUUCUUUACCUGGUCUUCUAUGUUCGCGGACCAUAAAUAGAGUCAAUUUUCUCGAUUUGGGAUUUUAAAAUAAACCGGUGACUUGGGAUACCAUAAUAAUUAUUUCAAAUGGCUACUCUGAUUAAAUAAAUAAUCUCAUUUCGAACAAUAUCACUUUAAUUAAAAAAAACUCUAUAUUCUUCGAAAAAUGGAGGUGUGACAAAGGACAAUUAUUAUUGUCAUUGUUCUUGUACGAACUUGAAAAAGAAUUAGAGGUGUUGAGCAAAGACGAAGGUUGGUGAAGUUUUGAAGUUGAGAUUCAACUGCUAAACUCAUUCUAGAUCCUUAGUUGCUGAUGAGAUUCGAAAAUGGAGAAAGAAUUUCAAAUAUACCAUUGUUGAAAAUUAAAAAAUCUUGAACAAAAAACGAGUUUGUUGAAGUUCUUGGUUGUUGGCCAAAUUGAUUACUCGGGUUUGGUGAUAAUGUUGUUGUGAAAUUGUAGUUGAAAUUUAAGCUUGAUUGGUGCGGAUUUGGUUGAGGCUUUGUUGAAUUUUGAGAAGCAAAAUUAAAUUUGAAGCUCUUGAAAAUUGUAAUAAAAUAUUCAUGAAAUCAAGUGUGUUUUGGAAGAACGACUCAUGAAAAUCGGUCCCGAGACUGACACAUGGCAAUGCCGUAUAGGUUACGGUCUUUUUCUUUAAGUUCUUAUGCGCUUGAAGGAGGUGUUUUCAUGUUUGGGUCCAAGUUAGCACAUAAGGUGCAAAAACUUUUGAAAAAAAUAAAUUGAUAGGGGAUAAUAAGACCCCGAAAAGAAAAGGUGUGAUUGAAAUUUCGGUGAUAGGGUACUUAUACCUUUUCCCAACCAAAAAGAAAGAUGAUAAAGCAUUAAAAAAAAGUACCUGAUAAAUUACUGUAACCAUUAAACCCAAAGAAAAAAAAUGAAGAGAAGAAAGUAACCAAAGGAGAAAAAAGAAAGAUGAUGUUAUUAUGAGUAUCAAAGAUUACGAUUAGUGAGAAAAGUAUGAACAAACCAUAAAAUGAAAUGUUUGUUUUAUUCUUCCAAUUUUGUUGUAACUUAAUCUUUUUAUCAAAAGAUUGAUAGAACCUAUUAUUAGUUGAUUGAUAUAAUUAUUUUAUUUGAAUGAUCUUGGCUUAUUGCUAAUUGUUUUUUUUUUUGUAGGUAAACAAUUUUAUUUACCAAAUGAAAGCGUAAAAAACAAAACAAGCACCUCCUCGACAAGGUUGCUCUACCUCUAACCGUCAGAACUUCCCAUAACUCCCAACACACUCAUUAACACUACUCCUUAAGGAUAGAAAUUAAGUUUAUCAUAUUUUAUUUUUUUAAAUCCCUUUCAAAUUAGGAGAAUCUAUAGUAUUUUCACACUUCCCCUUUAACCGUCAGAACUUCCCAUAACUCCCAACACACUCAUUAACAUUACUCCUAAAGGAUAGAAAUUAAGUUCAUCAAGUUUUUUUUUUAAAAUCCCUCUCAAAUUAGGAUGAUCUAUAAUGUUUCCACACUUCCCCUCCAGCGUGACUCGAAUCCAGGACCUAACGGUCAUGGGUGAAGGUACUUUACCAACUGAGCAAACCUCACUUGUCAGUUCAUCAUGUUUCUUAGCAAAUCUGGCCUUCAAAAUUCCUCAGCAGUGCACUUCUUGGGUGAUUGCUCUAAUGAAAAGAGCUCU